rnacentral:tRNA from 1 species
GGUUUUAUAGUAAUAAUUUAAAACGUCAAAUUGCAAAUUUGAAAAUGUGCUAACACUAAAACUU